rnacentral:rRNA from 1 species
CCUACGGGAGGCAGCAGUGAGGAAUCUUGCGCAAUGGGCGAAAGCCUGACGCAGCAACGCCGCGUGGAGGAUGAAGGUCUUCGGAUUGUAAACUCCUGUCAGAGGGGACGAACGCUUGCGGGCUAAUCACCGCAAGCUUGACGGUACCCUCAGAGGAAGCCACGGCUAACUCUGUGCCAGCAGCCG